GAUGAACACUAGCGAUAGGCCUAACACAUGCAAGUCGAGGGGCAGCAUAGAGUAGCAAUACUUUGAUGGCGACCGGCGCACGGGUGAGUAACACGUAUGCAACCUACCUACAUCAGGGGAAUAACCCGGAGAAAUUCGGACUAAUACCGCAUAAUACAGGGAUGCCGCAUGGCAAUAUUUGUUAAAGAUUUAUCGGAUGUAGAUGGGCAUGCGUUCCAUUAGCUAGUUGGUAAGGUAACGGCUUACCAAGGCAACGAUGGAUAGGGGAACUGAAAGGUUUGUCCCCCACACUGGAACUGAGACACGGACCAGACUCCUACGGGAGGCAGCAGUGAGGAAUAUUGGUCAAUGGACGAGAGUCUGAACCAGCCAAAUCGCGUGAAGGAAGACUGCCCUACGGGUUGUAAACUUCUUUUGUACAGGAAUAAAAGACAUUACGUGUAAUGUAUUGCGUGUACUGUACGAAUAAGCAUCGGCUAACUCCGUGCCAGCCGCCGCGGUAA
rnacentral:rRNA from 1 species